rnacentral:RNase_P_RNA from 1 species
UAGGGUAAGUGGGCGGCUACGGCUAAGAUUUUUCUUUGUCGAGGAAAGUCCGGACUCCCCCCGCCCCAUUUCCUUGAACUGGAGGAGGGGUCGUGACAGUGGAUAACGUCCACCAAGAGUAAUCUUAGGGAAAGUGCCACAGAGACAAUACUAGCUAUUGUUCGCAAUAGUUAAAGGUGAAAAGUGAUUUGGUGUUAUUCGUUCUCGAGAUGAAUGGCUACAAAUCUCGCUCUCUGGCGACAGAGAAGCGUGGUAAACCCUGUCUGGAGCAAGAGCAAACUCCCUCUCCAGUUUUAAUUAUUAAUAUUUAUGCACUUUGUAUACGUUAUAUUUAACACUAAGACCAAAAAGUAUUAUGUUGGGGAAUCUUCCAAUAUAAAUAGACGAUUAGAGGAGCACAAACUUGGAAAAAAUUUUUCUACUAAACAUUAUUCGGCUUUUUGGAGACUUGUUUACUCUGAGAUAUACAAGUCAAAAAAGGAUGCUGUAAUUCGUGAGAAAAAAUUAAAAUCACAUGGCUCCGGAAUGGUUGAAAUUAAAAAACGUAUAUUAAAUUCUGUACAAGCUAUUAAUAGUAAAACUGGGGAGGGAAAGAAAAGUGGCUCGCAUGAGCUAGUUGGUAACAAUUAGCCAAGAUAGAUUGUCGCUAGGCUUCGGCCUGACAGAAUCCGGCUUAUAGCUUGCCCUAAUAU